CAGGGGCUAUUGUAAUGAAAUCUGUUGUCACAAGAGCUGCAUGCACACAUUGUCCUCUUUCCCUAUUUGACUGCAGGUGGGCUUUUGGCUGCAAUGUAUUUUGCUGGUUUUUUAACAUGCGCACUGUUUACAUGUAUCUACCUAAACCGGGAGAAGUGCUGUCAAAGUCUAAACUCAUUGAGAAAGUGGUGUUGUGAGUCAGGCAGUAGAAGCUCUGCAGGAAUUUAAACUUCAAGCAAUCCUGAGUCUGGAGAUGCAAGUGCUAAUAAUGAGGCAGAAUUGGCCAAUCUGAACCAACAAAGUUAGUGCUUUGGUUUAAAACUUCUGGGGAAUAUAGAAUUCAGAGUUGGGGGCUGGACCGCUGGGUACCAUCUGCCUAUUGCAAGACGCUGUUUAGGCAAACGAACAUGCGUUCUUUUUUUCAUUGAGAAAAUGUCUUCUUUUUACAUUGUAGUUUGAAACUUUUGUAUAUAAUCCUAGCCUCGUUUGUAAAACGAAUAGUGGCCUGGUGAUGUUUUCGAUAUGAUUGCAGUGAGAUUAGUUUUCUACAGCUUUCCAUACAUGUUAGCUGUGGUUCGAAUCCCUCUGGUCCAACAUUUUAUUUGGCUAUAGUACUUCCAAUCUGAUUGCUCAGGUUUUCUUAAACAACUUUAAGACCGCUGAUGAGGGGUUCCCCCAACAUUUGAAAACUACCUCGCCUUUGAUUGUCGUCACUGAAAGUAUUGUGUUCAAGUAUUCUCACCUAGACGCUUUAGCCAAUAUGAAUUGCAAAUGUAGAUAAACUAGCCAGCAUUAGACAACUCGUCACUUCAUGUGUGAAAUUUAUAUCUUUGUAAAACGAAUUGACGGUAAAAAUGUCUUAUUUUGUUAAUCAAUUUUAUGCACAUUUCCAUGCUUAUAUGCCAAAGUAUUUUUGCACUCGGUAAUUUUGUAUAUUUUGGAAUUUAACGUCAACUUUUUCUAACUUUUUUCAAUAUAACUUUUGAAAUCACAUUCCAUUUUAAUUGUAAAAAGUAAACAAUGCUGUGUGUCAUCCAAUGAAAUAAUGUUUUGUAGAGUGGUUGAAUAUAAACACAUCCGGCGUUGAUUUGAUUCUGUAAAUUAGAAUUUAGCACGUGAGGUAUUCUGAAUAUAUAAAUUUGAUAUAUUUUACUGCCUGAUUGAGCUCAGAUGAAUAAGGAAUUACAAAUUAAGCAUAUGGAGAAAAAAAUGUGAAAGCAAGUGAAAUGUUC